UACGUAGGGUGCGAGCGUUUGUCCGGAAUUAUUGGGCGUAAAGAGCUUGUAGGCGGUUUGUCGCGUCUGCUGUGAAAUCUCAAGGCUCAACCCCGAACUUGCAGUGGGUACGGGCAGACUAGAGUGUGGUAGGGGAGACUGGAAUUCCUGGUGUAGCGGUGAAAUGCGCAGAUAUCAGGAGGAACACCGAUGGCGAAGGCAGGUCUCUGGGACCAUAAACUGACGCUGGAGAAG
rnacentral:rRNA from 1 species